UACGAAGGGAGCUAGCGUUUUUCGGAUUUACUGGGCGUAAAGCGCGCGCAGGCGGUUAAUUAAGUUGAAAGUGAAAGCCCAAAGCUUAACUUUGGAAUUGCUUUCAAAACUGAUUAGCUAGAGUUUGGUAGAGGAUGAUGGAAUUCCUGGUGUAGAGGUGAAAUUCUUAGAUAUCAGGAGGAACACCGGUGGCGAAGGCGAUCAUCUGGGCCAUAACUGACGCUGAGGCGCGAAAGCGUGGGGAGCAAACAGG
rnacentral:rRNA from 1 species